CAGGGUUGUGACCAUAAUGUGGUGGCUUCUCUCCCUUAGGUGGUUUGCCAACUGGGGUUGGUGGCUUGUGUUCUGGGAGUGGCUUCUCCCCCUUGGGAGGUUUUUCCAAUGGGGUUGGUUUGUGUUCAGGAGGUGGCUUCUCCACUGGAGGCUUGUGUUCAGGAGGUGGCUUCUCCACCGGUGGCUUGUGUUCAGGAGGUGGCUUCUCCACCGGAGGCUUAUGCUCUGGUGGUGGCUUCUCCACCGGAGGCUUAUGCUCUGGUGGUGGCUUCUUGAAUGGGGGAUGCUGAGGGUAAUCAGCAAGUGAGGGGGCGGUGAGAACCACCAGGCCAAGCAACACCACUAGCAAAUAUGUAGGAGACAUCUUUGGGUUUGGGCUCAGAUGGUGCAAAACUAGGAGAAUUGGCUAGCCUUUUAUAGCGGAUCGUACUCAAUAAUGAAAUGACACGUGUCAUUAUGACCCAUGUGUAAUGGGGUCGAUUUGGGUCCUACAGUGUUGAAAACUUCGACAUCCAGUUUUGGCCUUUUGCUUUCUCUACAGCCGCCUUGCUUUUUCCCUCUUUCCUUUUGUUUUCCUCCUGCCCCAUUCUAUCAACUAAACACAAUUAUGUAGUUGUUUAAUUCUUAAAUGAGAUAUUAUCGGUCAAUCGUAUUAUAUUUUAUCAAGAGAGAACGGAGUGCAAUGCAGCUGUAAUUUUAUCGUUUACUUUUAUCUCUUGGACCACUGCAUUUUUGUUAAGAGGUGCAAUAAUACACGUCUUUAUCUGCCAUUCAAUGUUUACAGUAAAGAGAGGGCACAAAACUCUUCACUGCUCUGCAUGUGUCCCAAAAAUGCGAUUGGACAAAUUAUGAUUUGCAUGCUAAAAAGAGGCAAAUGAGGUUAAUUCGCACCAUAAUUAUUUGGUUUUCUGGACACCAUAAAAAGAUGUUAUACAGGCAGGGAAAAACCUUCAGAGUUAGCUACCAAAGAUAAUUAUCAAGCAGAUAUCACCAAGAGAAUUCCAUAGAGUCUGAAUCAAAGACAGAUUGCUCGCUCGUGGGGGUUCUUACUUUCUUUUGGGUAUAACUCACUGAGGUCACUGUCUUUUUUAUUUGCAUUUCACAGUUAGAGUUCUGCUCUGGAAGGUUUGUUCUGGAAACAUAUAAAAGGAGCAUCAUUUUGUUCUUGGGUAACCCAUAGUCGUGAGUGGGUCCAUUUGCAUGCUACUUAGUUGAAAAGUUGGACAAUUUGCUCCGACGCCUACCUCCUGGAUUCCAUGCUCGGUAAAACAAGAAUAAAAAAAAAUAUAUAAUUUACAAAUGGGGGAAAGAAAAAAUGUCGGAAAAAAUAGUAAAAUUCAUGUCACAUGCUAGUGAGAGAAGGGGUUGUUACACUCACUCGAAGUUCUUUUCAAAAUAUCGAAUGGUAUUUUACUUUAUGUGUCAGCGCAGUUGUGAAUGGAACGUGCAAAAGUCCAAAUUGGCGUUUUUAUUUUUCCCAUGUAGGAUGGUGACCUUUAAUAAAUAUUUAAAACAAAAGACGAAAAAAAAAAGGAGGGAAAAGGGAUCACAAAAGAUAAAAUAAUGUUUACAAAAGCUCAAUUAGUUUGCAAAUUACUGUUUGGAUUUUGAUAGUAUUUUAUUUGUCGUUCUAUAUUUGAUGUAAAAGAGAAUUUAAGAUAUUUCCGAAGCAAAAGCAUUAGUUUGCUCUGUGAUGUCCCACAUCGAAUAGGGGAGAAAGUUUCUGGCGCUAUAUAUGUAGAGGCUCCUCUUAACCAAGUAGAUGCGUUUUAAAACCAUGAGGGCCCCCUUAGGUCCAAAGCGGACAAUAUCUACAUGAUUGGGUGUAAGUCAUUACAAAUGGUAUCAGAGCCGAUCCCCGACCCCGGUGUGGGGGUUUGUUUGGCCCUGUAAGGGGUGUUUGUCUGUUUGACCCCACAAUCCCAUGGGACACAACGAGGACGUUGUGUCUGCAUGGGGGGGCGUUUGUGAUGUCCCACAUCGGAUAGGGGAGAAAGUUCCUAGUGCUAUAUAUGUAGAUGUUUCUCUUAACCAAGUAGAUGCAUUUUAAAAUUGUGAGGGCCUCUUUGGGCCCAAAGCGGACAAUAUCUACAUGGUUGAGUGUAAGUCAUUACAUGCUCCAUGUCAAUUUCAGCAUUUCUCAUAUGUUUCACACAUACACAGAAGAGCAUCGUUUUUUAAAGCAUGCAUUUAUGUUGGAUUAAUUUGGAUUUUGUGGGAACUGGGGCAAGGAUCACAUGGAAGAGAGGUUGACUUUUUUCAGUACUUCAAUGGUUGAAAUAUGUGAAGGCUUGAUUGAUACUAAAGCUUGAAAUUGCGACUCUGUCAUUUGUAAAAAAAUAUGACAGCUUCCAUGCUCUCGUUUGGUUGCAUUGUCCGGUCGAGAGGUGCAAAAAGCAUUCUCUCUCUUCUAAUAGUCUUUUCGUUUAAAUCAAGGGAUUUGCCUUCCCGGUCGAGGUCCAAUAGAGGGUAACGGUCACCUACUAAACAUUAAAUGCUCCAACAACUAGUGAACUGAUCGACCCCAGCUCGACUAGUUGAGGUUACUUUUUGGUUUUCUUGUCUCCCGAGGUUAGAAACCUAUAAAUAGAGAGCUUCACUUCAUUUAUGAGUAAGAGAACACCUAAAUUUAUUUGUUUACCUACUUGUUUUUGCCAUAAAAGCUCUCAUUUCUUUUCUUGGUGUAUUAAAUCUCCAUUUGCAUAUCCUUUAGUGCACCUUUGUGAUUCAUUCUAGCCUUGAGUUGUAUUUAAGCCUUUGUUGAGCUAGGUUGAGAGUUUCAUACUUGUUUAUUGAGUGUUAAAGCCUUCAAGUGAGUUAAAACUUGAAGAGAUUGUGUAAGAGCCCAUUGGAGUCGGAAUCCAAGUGUAAAGGUGAUUAAAAGCUUGGUUGAAGCUUCAAGUUAGUGGAACUCUCACUCGGUUAUGAGCUUGAGAAGAGUGGACAUAGACAAGGCAGUGUCGAACCACUAUAAAAUCUGAGUUUGAUUUCUCUAACCUUAUCUCUUUAUAUUUGCUUCUCUUGUGCUUAAAUUUUUUGUGUUUAAAAAGAAUUUUUAAAAACUCAAUUCACCCCCUUCUUGGGAGUUUUUCUCUUUUAAGAUCAGCUUUUAUUUUCUCAAUUGGUAUCAGAACUAUGCCUCUUGUUUAAGACUUAAUCGUCUAAGAGGAAAUGGCUAAUCCAUCAAGUUCAUCUCACAUUGAAAGUUUUGCAACCAAUAGACUUCUUUUUUUUUUUUUGCGGGAACUGAUUAUCCCUAUUGGAAAACUAAAAUGACUUGGUUUUUACAAUCAAUUGAUUUAGAUGUAUGAGAUGCCAUUGAAGAUGACCUAACUUUUCCUUCAAAACUAGUUGAUGGAGUCAUGGUUCCAAAACCUAAGCAAGAAUGGGAUGAGCGUGAUUGAAGAAAUUUUCAAUUAAAUGCUAAAGUCGUUUAUACUUUGCAAUGCUCUAUGGACAGAAAUGAAUAUAAUAGAAUAUGUCAAUGCAAAUCGGUUAAAGAAAUUUGGAGAUUGCUUGAAAUAACUCAUAAAGGAACAAAUCAAGUUAAAGAGUCAAAAAUCAAUUUACUUGUUCAUAGAUAUGAAUUGUUUUUUAUGAAAGAUAAUGAAACUAUUGUUAAGAUGAUCACUAGGUUCACCAACAUUGUUAAUGGUCUUAAAGCCUUGGGAAAGACCUACAAGGAAUCCGAAAACGUGAUGAAGAUCUUGAGGUCACUUCCAUCAAAGUGGCAUACCAAGGUCACCGCAAUUUAAGAAGCAAAAGACUUGAUCAAGCUACCUUUGGAGGAGUUCAUAGGGUCAUUGAUGACAUAUGAAAUCAAUUUGGCAAAGAAGUAACAAAAAGGUGAAGACAAAAAGAAGAAGAACAUAACUCUCAAAGCUACAACUAAGGAAGAAGAAGUUGAAGAAGAAAAACAAAUUGAAGAAGAUGAAGAUUUAGCCCUCAUCACAAGAAAGUUCAACAAAUUCAUGAGGGGUGAAAGGUUUAGAAGAAGAAGGUUCACUUCUAGAAGAGACUUUUCUAAAAAGGAAUCUUCAUCUAAUGGUGACAAAAAGAGAUGGGAAGAGAAAAGAGACUUGGUGUGUUUCAAGUGCAAGAAACCGGGACACAUUAAAUAUGAUUGUCCUCUCUACAAAAGUGAAGUCAAGAGGAAAAAGAAUAAGGCAAUGAUGGCCACUUAGAGUGAAAGUGAAGAUGAAUCAUCCGAAGAAGAAAAUGAGAAAGAAGUGGCAAACAUGUGUUUCAUGGCAAUAGAUGAACUUGAUGAGGUAAAAUCUAACCUUAGUGAUUAAGAUAUACAUGAUGCAUUUGAAGAAUUGUAUGAGGAUUUUUAAAAACUUAGUUUGAAAAAUAUUUCUCUUAAAAAGAAAGUUCAACAACUUGACAAAGAACUUAGAGAAGUAAAAGAAAAAUUUUCAAAUGUUAAAGUUUCUAAAACUCAUCUUGAAAAAGAAAAUGAGAUUCUAAGAAAGAAAAAUGAAUAGUUGAACUCCUCUCUUUCAAUCUUUUCUUCUAGACAAAAAUCUUUUGAAAUGAUUCUAACUAGCUAAAAAUGUGUUUUUGACAAACAAGGGUUAAGAUUUAAAUCUUCAAAAAAUCAAAAGUAUUUUAAAAACUAUUUUGUAAAGGAAUCCACAAGUGCAAGUCCUUCCACUACUUGCAACUUUUGUGGAAGAGAAUGGCACAUUAGUAGUACGCCCUUUAAGAAAUGGUUCUCAAAAGAAUUUAAAUGCAAAAACUAAAAAAGAUUUGGAUUGAGAAAUCCAAGGUCACUAACCCUCAAGGACCCAAAAAGAUAUAGGUACCUAAAUCAACUUGAGUUUUAUGUUGUAAGGUUCAAAGAAUGAUAAGUGGUUCUUAGAUAAUGGUUGCUCAAGACACAUGACCGGAGAUGAAUCCAAGUUUGCUUUUCUUAAAAAGAAAAAUGGAGGAUAUGUUACCUUUGGAGACAAUGCAAAAGAAAGGAUGAUUGGUCAAGGCAACAUUGGUAAUGGCACAUCCUCUCUCAUUGAAAGUGUUUUAUUAGUAGAUGGUUUCAAACAUAACCUUUUAAGCAUUAGUCAAUUUUGCGACAAAGGUUUUUAAGUGAUUUUUUAAGCAUCUCAUUGCAUCAUCAAGGAUAUUCAAAAUGAUAAAACCAUUUUCAUGGGCCAUAGAUGUGAUAAUGUUUAUGCUAUAAAUAUUUCAAAAUAUGAUGGCCAUGAUAGAUGUUUUUCAAGCAUGCAUGAUCAAAGUUGGUUGUGCCAUAGGAGAUUGAGACAUGCUAACAUAGACCUCAUUUCCCAACUCAACAAAGAUGAACUUGUUAGAGGCCUUCCCAAAAUAAUUUUUUAAAAAGAUAAAGUUUGUGAAGCUUGUCAAGUGGGAAAGUAAAUCAAAAACUCUUUUAAAAACAAAAACUUCAUUUCCACAUCUAGGCCACUUGAGUUGUUGCAUAUGGAUUUAUUUGGUCCCUCUAGGACACCAAGUCUUAGAGGAAAUUCUUAUGCAUAUGCUAUUGUGGACGACUUCUCUAGAUACACAUGAGUCUUGUUUUUUAGUCAAAAGAAUAAAGUUUUUUAUGAGUUUUCAAAGUUUUGCAAUAAGAUUCAAAAUGAAAAAGGUUUUUCAAUUACUUAUAUAAGAAGUGAUCAUGGGAGAGAAUUCGAAAAUAUUGAUUUUGAAGAGUAUUGCAAUGAGCAUGGAAUUGACCACAAUUUUUUGGCUCUUAGAACUCCUCAACAAAAUGGGGUAGUUGAAAGGAAAAAUAGAACUCUUCAAAAAAUGACAAGAACCAUACUAAAUGAAAACAACUUACCAAAAUAUUUUUAGGCCAAAACGGUUAACACUUCUUGUUAUGUUUUAAAUAGAGUAUUAUUGAGGCUCAUACUUAAGAAAACUCCCUAUGAGCUUUGGAAAAACAAAAAACCCAACAUUAGUUAUUCCAAAGUCUUUGGAUGCAAUAUUUUAUAAUAAACACCAAAGACAAUCUUGGAAAAUUUGAUGCAAAAUUGGAUGUUGGAAUUUUCCUUGGUUACUCAACUUCAAGUAAAGCUUUUCGAGUUUUAACAAAAGAACCAUGGUUGUAGAGGAGUCCAUCCAUGUUAUUUUUUAUGAAUCUCCAAGAAAGAGAGAGGAUUGAUGAUGAUUUAGGUUUGAAGACCUCUAUAGGAAGAUUGCAAAUCGAAGAUAGAAGACAACAAGAAGAAAAUGGAGAGAAUCCAAAGAAAGAAGGAUCACCAUUGGCACUACCCCCUCAUCAACAAGCGCAAGGUGAAUCAAGUCAAGAGCUUCCUAAAGAAUGGAAGUUUGUCAUCAAUCACCCACAAGAUCAAAUUAUAGGCAAUCCAUCUAGUGGGGUAAGAACUAGAUCCUCUCUUAGAAAUAUUUGCAAUAAUCUAGCUUUUAUCUCUCAAAUUGAGCCUAAAAAUAUAAAUGAUGUUUUAGAUGAUGAAAAUUGGAUAAUUGCAAUGCAAGAAGAGUUAAAUCCAUUUGAAAGAAGUGGAGUAUGGGAAUUAGUACCAAGACCUUCAAAUCAAAGUGUUAUUGGAACUAGAUGGAUCUUUAGAAAUAAAAUGGAUGAAAAUAGCAUAAUUGUUAGAAAUAAAGCAAGAUUGGUAGCCCAAGGUUUUAAUCAAGAAGAAAUGAUAGAUUAUGAAGAAACCUUUGCCCCCGUAGCUAGGUUGGAAGCCAUUAGGAUGCUACUUGCCUUUGCAUGUUUUAAAGACUUUGUUUUAUAUCAAAUGGAUGUGAAAAGUGCUUUUUUAAAUGGUUUUAUAAAUGAAGAAGUAUAUGUUGAACAACCACCCGGUUUUCAAAGUUUCAACUUUCCUAACCAUGUUUUUAAACUUAAAAAGACACUUUAUGGUUUGAAACAAGCACCUAGAUCAUGGUAUGAAAAAUUGAGUAAAUUUCUUUUGAAAAAAAUGUUUUAAAAUGGGAAAAAUUGACACAACUCUUUUUAUAAAAACCAAAGAAAAUGAUAUGCUCUUAGUUCAAAUAUAUAUUGAUGAUAUCAUUUUUGGUGCUACUAAUGUCUCUCUUUAUGAAGAAUUUUCUAAGUGCAUGCAUAGUGAGUUUGAAAUGAGCAUGAUAGGAGAACUCAACUUCUUCCUUGGACUUCAAAUCAAGCAACUAAAGGAAUGAACCUUCAUCAAUCAAGCAAAGUAUAUAAGAGAUCUUCUCAAAAGGUUCAACAUGGAAGAAGCCAAAACAAUGAAGACUCUAAUGAGCUCAUCCAUUAAGCUUGAUAAGGAUGAGAAAGGUAAAUCCAUUGACUCUAUUAUGUAUAGAGGCAUGAUAGGUUCUUUGCUCUAUUUGACCACUAGUAGACCUUACAUUAUGUAUAGUGUGUGUUUGUGUACUAGAUUUCAAUCUUGUCUUAAAAAAUCUCACUUAAGUGUCGUGAAAAGAAUCCUCAAAUAUUUGAAAGGGACAAUGGACAUAGGCUUAUGGUAUCCUAAGAGUGAUAACUUUGAAUUAAUUGGUUUUUUGGAUGCUGAUUUUGUCAGUUGUAGGGUUGAAAAAUAAAACACUAGUGGCACUUUUCAUUUCUUAAGACACUUACUUGUCUCAUGGCAUAAUAAGAAGCAAAAUUUGGUAGCUUUGUCAACAGCAGAAGCUAAAUACAUAGCAACUGGUUUAUGUUGUGCACAAAUCCUUUGGAUGAAAUAAACACUUAGUGAUUUUGAUUUAUCUUUUGAGCAUAUUCCUAUUAAAUGUGAUAAUAGUAGUGCCAUAAGUAUAUCAAAAAAUCUCGUGCAACACUCUAGGACUAAGCAUAUAGAGAUUAGACAUAAUUUUCUUAGAUAUCAUACACAAAAGGAUGAUAUAACACUUGAAUUUGUAAGCAUAAAAGACCAACUUGCCGAUAUCUUUACAAAACCUCUAAGAACAUUUUGUUGAUAUUAGAGGACAAUUAGGAGUGAUUUCUUUAUGAUCUAAUGUGAUGAAUUCUUGAUGAAUAUACUUUUUGAUUGCAUGAAUUUCAUGUCAUAUAUGCAUCAUAUAGAAAUAUACUUAGAUAAUGGUCAAAUUUCGACCAAAAAUCAAAAUUCCCAUGGCAUUAGGCAUAAAAAUUUUGGAAUUUCAACUGAAAAUGGUAGGAGGAGGAUCACAAAAUGAGAAAGUAUGCAAAAAUUGAAAAAUCAAAACGUUGACCAAGCGGUCAAUCGGACUAGACCGAUCGACUAGUUUGUCGAGAUUUAGGAUUUUUAAGAGACUCCAACGCUUCAAUUUUUGCACCGUUCUCCUCUAUUUCUUCACGGUUUCUCUGAUUUUGUCUUUUAGAGACUAAUUUGAGUGCGUUUUGGAUCAAUUGAAGCAUUUUGGAUUGGAUUUUAGGAAGAUUGAAAGUUAAGGUUUCGGAUUUGGGUCGCCUUCUCUUCCUCUCGCGUGUCACAAUCAGCUUUAGCAUUGUUCUCUUUCCAUUUUCACACACCUAGGGUUUCAGUUGUGAGCAUCUCUCUCUCUUUACCAACCACUACUCCCUUGCUUCUUCCAUAUGGCUCCUAGGCGAGAGUCCGCUACUUCUAGGGCACAAGGCAAGCACCCAACUGAGUCGUCUCAGUCAAAGGCACGUCGAAAAGUGAGAUUUGACAUUGCCUUGUUCAGUUCCAUGGAGGACUACCAACUAUACAAGCAACACUUUGCUUAGAGACGAGUAGUUCCCAAGAGAAAUAUUAAUUUUCCUCAACUUCAGCAUUUCGAAUUUAAGGGUCUAUUUACUAGGAUGGUUGGUUGUCUAUUGUCACAAUUUCGGAGCCGGUUUUCCUGACCUUAGUGCGAGUUUUUUACUCGAGGGCGACUUAUGGCAUGGGUGGCAUGAUCAUUUCUACUGUUGGAGGAGUUGAGAUCUGUCUGGACCCAGAGAGCAUCUGCCAUAUUUUCGAUAUUGCUCUGGUUGGACUCAAAGUAUACAAGUCCAAAAUGUGGCCCAUUGUGCCAGGAUUUGAGCUUAGAGAGGUCAUUCAGAGGAUUUGUGAACUUCCAGACGCCCAGGAGAUGGGCAAACCAUUGCCACACAGUUUGACGGUCAUCAACAGGGUGCUACACCAUAUAUUGUGCUCUAUCUUUCUACCACGAAGUGGACAUUGAGAUGAGGUCUCUUAUUAUGAGGCAUUCCUUAUUGACUCCAUUCUAACGGAGAGACGAAUUCAUCUACUAUGUCAUCAUUCACUAAGCCUCCUCACAGUGACAUACCACCUCAUCAGGCACCUCUUGCUCCUGACCAUGCUCCAUUGAUGGAUUUAUUUACUCAUAUUAGCUCUCUAGGCACUCGCAUGAAGGAGUUUGUUGUAGUUAGUGAUACAUGGUUCUACUCCAUAGAGGAUCGCAUGGAUCAGUAUCAGACUGGCUUCACGUCACAGUUUGAGUAUCUCCAAUAGAGGAUUGAGCAUAUUGAGGAUCACUUGAGCAUGAGAAGAUGAUGGCUUUUCUAUGCUCUGUGUUUCCACCUCCACCUCGUCAACCUUGAUUUCUUAGAGACCCAUUGUUUUCAUUUUGUAAUGUUGCCAAAAGGGGGAGAUAUUUAGGAUCUAGGACUCUAUAGGAGACUUACAUGCAUAUCAUUUUCAUAUCAUUGUUUGGAUCGUACAUAUUGGAUAGUGAUACUUUUUACUUAUAUAUGAUAUGCCUAUAUGUUUCAUGUCUUACAUUGUUUCUUAUUGCAAAUUAUCUCUAACAUGUCUUGAUUAUCUUUUUUUUAACUUCAUAAAUUUUGAUUGUUAACCCAUGAUUGGUUUGAGGGGAAGAUUCUUCUUCUCCUAGAUAACCAAGGUUUGUCAUCAUAAAAAAAUUGGAGAUUGUUAGCCCAAGGGUUCUCCUAAUCAUGUUUUGAUGAUAACAAACCAUGCUUAAGUUACUAAUUGGUUUGAAUUAUAAAGAAUUUCAAGUGUUAAUUUGAAAAUUCAUCAAAGAACCUAAUGGAUGCAAGAUCAAGAUUUUUGGAAGACCUUUAAUCAUAAGAAACAUAUGUAAGAUGAAUGCAUGGGUGCACUUAAGAUUUGCAUAUCAUUUCAUGCAUAUUUGGAAAACACGGUUUAUGCUUUAAAGUUACAUUUCCAUCAAAAUUUGAGAUCCAUCAAAUGAACCUUAGGAAAAAUGUUUUAAAAUUGGCAUAUAAUUUUACCUAAAGACCUUGCCUAAGUGUUAGAAGCAAAAGGACAAAAAAAAUAUAGGUUUUCUGGUCAAAAAUGGUGAACCAGUCAAGGCAUUGUCUAAAUCAGCUCAAUCGGCCAAGGUACCGGUCGAUCGGUUUCCCUUUCCCUGUCGAGAUCUAGUCAAGAGGUACAAAAAUCACAAUCUCUGUCUCUUUCUCUCUUUGUCUAUCUUCCAGUAGUCUUUCCUUCCCGGUCGAGGGAUUUGCCUUCCCGAUUGAGGUCCGAUUGAGAGUAAUAGUCACUUGCCAAAUAUUAAAUGCUCCAACAGUUAGUGAACUGGUCGACCCCCACCUUGCCCAGUUGAGGUUACUUUUUGGUUUUCUUGGCUCCCGAUGUUAGAAACCUAUAAAUAGAGAGUUCCACUUCAUUUAUGAGCAAGAGAACACUUGCAUUUAUUUGUUUACCUACUUGUUCUUGCCUUAAAAGCUCUCAUUUCUUUUCUUGGUGCAUUAAAUCUCCAUUUUGAUAUCCUUUAGUGCACCUUUGUGAUUCAUCUUAGCCUUGAGUUGUAUUUGAGCCCUUUUUUUAGCUAGGUUGAGAGUUUCAUACUUGUUAAUUGAGUGUUAAAGCCUUCAAGUGAGUUGAAACUUGUAGAGAUUAUGUGAGAGUCGAUUGGAGCCGAAAUCCAAGUGUAAAGGUGAUUAGAAGCUUGGUUGAAGCUUCAAGUUAGUGGAAUCCUCACUCAAUUAGGAGCUUGAGGAGAGUGGACGUAGCCAAGGAAGUGUCGAACCACUAUAAAAUUUGAGUUUGAUUUCUCUAACAUUGUCUCUUUAUAUUUGUUUAUCUUGUGCUUAAAUUUAUUGUGUUUAAAAAGAAUUUUUAAAUACCCAAUUCACCCCCCUCUUGGGUGUUUUUCUCUUUUAAAAUUAGCCUUUAUUUUCUCACAAACUAUUGUAGUAUAGUGGUUUUUAGGUGUCAUCCAUUAGGAUGAAUUGUUCUCGGUAAUUAAGGCGUGAAUGAGAGGAGAAUUAAUGAUUGUGAUUAAGUAAAAUUGAUUUGAAAAUUCAUGGUGAAAAAUCAAUUUAACAAUGGUUUCUAAUUGAGAAAAACAAUGAAAUGUGAAAUAAAAUAAAAUUAAUAGGAAAUGAAAUUCUCGAAGUUAGAAUUUUCUAAAAAACAAAUUCCAUGGUGAAUGGAUGUUGAGAUCUAAUUUUCAUCAAGUUAGAUUGAAAACCGAAAUUUUCAUAUAAACUGAUUUUUUAUUUAGUUUUAGGUCUAGAUUUAAUUUCCCUUAAAAUUAGGUUAUUUAAUCCAAGAAAUCAAUUCAAAUCAUAUAUUCAAUUCAUCUUAAAUUAUCUUCCAAUUAUUCACACAAUGCAACUAUUCAAUCUCAUCAAAUCUAGCUUUUAAGAAUUUAAUGAAUCUACCUAGUUUGCAUUGUAAUAGUCAUCCAUGACAAUUUGAAGAGAAAAAUAAUUCAAUUAAUCAAUCACUUGGAUCAAAUUACCUUUGCAAUUAAAGUUCAUUUCUCUAAUUCACCACAGAUUUUGUCUCUAGAUCCUCCUUUCUCAAAGAAAAAUGAGAUUUAGCCACACAUGAUUGGAGAUUUGGUCUCAUAAGGCAUGUUUAGCUAGUGAUAAAAUGAGAGAAAAUAAAGAAAAAUAGAGAAUUCGAUUAAGAAAGAAAAUCUAAAAAAUUCUACAAUUAGAAAUGUCCAAAAAGCUUUUUCAUGAGAAAAUCAAGUUUCUAUUUAUAGGCCAAGGUCAAGUGGACACUUGACAUCAUCUAAGAGGUCUUCCGGAAGCUUCUUCAUCAAGAAAUCUGGAGUUUAAUAAUAAAAUGGUCAUUUCACAAGAGCUCAAACAAUUUCGCAUGAUUAUGUGAAAUAAAAAAUGCAACAACAGCAAUUUACAUCUUCUUGGAGCAUUUCGCAUGACUGUGUGAAAUUUUCACAUGAUCAUGUGGAAUCGACUUGACAACUCUCAUUUAGCCUACAACAUAAUUCCACCUUUUGGUCCAUUUUUCAUAGUCAUGCGAAAUGGAAAUAUUUGAUUUUUAAGUUUUCUUUUGUCAUUUCUUUCAUUUCCUUCUCUUGAUUCCACUUCAACUACCUCCGAAUCCUGGUCCAAACCAAUUGCAUUACUUCUUUCAUUAUGCAUUUGGAUCAUCAUCAACAUUAUUUGUUCUCUUCAAUUUGAUUCAUCUCUUUUGUCACCAAUUUAUCAAAAUCAUACCUUGAAAUGACUCCAAAACUUCAUAAAACUUGUUAGUAACUCUUGCAAGGGCAACAACAUAUUAAUUAAGUGUUUUAGGCAUAGUUACUACUCAAAAGAUGCGAAACUCAUGAUAAUUAUUAUAUAAAAUAUGCUCUUUUUGAGUAGUAAUCAACUUUCUUGCAUAAGCAGACCUUUUAGGGUGGAGUACUAAAGACCAAUAUGCUUGUCCUUGUUGUAAUAAAGAAACUUGCUCUUAUUGAUUGCACCAUGGGAGAAAAUUUUGCUACAUGAGUUAUCAUCAAUUUCUUCCCACCAAUCAUAGAUUUAGACGUGACAAGAGGCCUCUUAAUGGCAAGGAGGAACUGACACUCACACUUAUACAAUUAUCGGGCAUUGAUGUGUUGCAACAAUUAGAAUAACUUACACCAAUUAUGUUGGGGAAGUCACAAAAGGCAAACAUGAAAACUAAAAGGAAAAAAGAAAAAUGUUACAUAUCACCACAACUGGAAAGAAAAAAGUAUUUACUUUCAUUUGCCAUAUUGGAAAGCACUUAUUUUACAUCAUAAUAAUUUAGACAUAAUGCAUAUUGAGAAAAAUGUGUGACAAUAUAAUUGAGACAUUGUUCAGUAUUGACGAAGAAACAAGGACAACCUAAAUAGUCAUCUCGAUUUACAAGCUCUAACUAUUAGAAAUGAGAUUCACCCAAUAGAAAGCAGGACCAAAUUUAUUUUGCUUGCAACAUGCUACUCACUCACCCCAAAUGAGAUUAAGGAAUUUUGCAAGUUUUUGAAAUCAAUAAAGGUCCCCAAUGGCUAUUCUUUCAAUAUCUCUCGUUAUGUGCAACUCAAUGAAAGGAAGAUAUAUGAGCUCAAAUUGUAUGAUUGUCAUGUCCUAAUGCAACAACUUCUCUCACUUGUAGUUCGUGGAGUUCUACAUAAGAAUGUUUGUGGAGUUAUCAUAGAAUUGCGUAAUUUUUUCAAGCAAUUGUGCUCAAAGGUGUUAGAAACAAAUCACUUACACCAACUUGAGAACAAUAUUAUUGUCAUACUAUGUAAAAUGGAGCAAAUAUUUCUUCCAUCAUUCUUUGAUAUUAUGGUGCAUUUACUUGUGCAUCUAGUAAGGCAAAGGUUGCAAGACUUGUGCAAUAUUGUUGGAUGUACCUAAUUGAACGAUAUUGUUAUAAUUUCAUAUGAAUCAUUUAAUUUUAUUUUAUAUUAUGUUCAGUUCAUUAACAUGUACAUUGGUCUACAUAUGGAUGAUGAUAGGUACCUAAGCACUUUAAAGUCAUAUGUGCGUAAUAGAACUUUUCUAGAAGGUUCUAUUGUAGAAAGGUACCUUGCAAAAGAAUGUACAACAUUUUAUUCUAGGUACUUGAAUGAUGUGGAAAUAAAGUAUAAUCACAAUGAUAGAAACUUUGUUGGUUUCAACACUAGAGGAGAUGAAAGGGGUUAUCUUUAAACAUAUUGGACAUGCAUUGGGAAAGCCCAUAUUUCAUUAACUUAGUUCAAAAGAGUGGUCACAAGCACAUUUAUAUGUGUUGACAAAUUGCGAAGAUGUCAUACCAUUCAUUGAGUAAAAAAUUUAUUUGAAUUUUAAUUAAAGCUCUAGUUUAUAUCCUUAAUCAAUGUUUUUUAAAUUCACAAGGAGCACAAGCAAACCAUCAAGGCUAGACCACAUAUACGUGUUUGAGACGUAGAUUUAAUUCAUAACAAGGAAUUUAUCAAGUGGUUUGAAAGACAUGUAAGUAUAUUCCUUAUUAUAAGGGAUUUAUUUCACAUUAUGUUUAUAUUGAAUCCAAACCUAUUAUUGAAUUGUAGGUUGAACAAUUACAUAAUGAAGGUCAUAUAUCUGAACACCUUCUCACAUUAUCAUGUGUUCCAAAUUCAUUAGUUACAUGCUUCAAAUGAUAUAUUGUCAAUGGAUUUAGAUCCCACAUUAAAGAACGUGAUAAAAAAGUUUUUAAAAAAAGACUCAGAAUAAUGGAAUUGUUGUAGUUGCAAAAACGUCAAGCUUUACAAGUGCAUGUGAUAUGAGUCCAAUUAUUAGUGAUGCUCUCUACUAUGGUGUUCUAACUAAAGUUGUUGAGUUACAUUAUCUUGGUGAAAAUAAGGUUGUUUUAUUCGAGUUUGAUUGGUGGGAUGUUACAAAUAUUGGAAAAUUGAUAAAAGAUGAUGAGUACAAUUACACAUUUGUUAACUUUGCAUGAAUUCUAACCACGAACGAACGAUUUGUACUUGCAUCUCCAGCAAAGUAAGUGUUCUAUGUGAAGAAUGCGAAUGAAUCAGAUUGGCAUACUAUCAUGGAGAUGCAACCUCAAGACCUCUAUAAGAUGAACGGGAUAGGAUCCAAUGGUGAUUUUGAACCAUUUCAACAAAGUGAACUACAUGAUCACUAAUAUAUCUCAGAUUUAGUUGAUGAAGAUAUAAUCAAGUGGAACAAAAGUGAUGUUUUAGGACUAAUCAUCCUAAAAAAUAUUGUAGUUUCUUAAAAAAAAAAUGAAAAUGAAGAAGAUAAUUGAACCUUUGUCAUACUUUAAAAAGCAACUAUGCAUUGUUCAUUUUGUAUGUUUUGGUUUUCUUCAUUUAAUUUCCUGAUUUUUGUGAUUCAAUGUCAUAUUAUUGAUCUUGAAAUAUUUUUCUAAUUUUUCAUUCUACGAUGGUUUCAACAAGGAUGACAUCAAGUCAAAAAAGGAAAUGUGGUCCCACACACAAUAUUGCAUUACAGGGAUUAAGGUCAGGGAAGAAGGUAAAAGUUGCAUUUAAUGAGUACAAUCAAUUGGUUAAACAGAAAAAUGGAAAACACUUAUCGAGCUACAUAGGGACACUUGUAUCUAACCAACACAAUGUACCUCUCCAAGCUAGUGAUUGGAAAAAUGUUCCAAAUGAUGCAAAAGAGAAAGUAUGGCCUUUGUUUUGGUAUGUUGUAUUUCUCACUAUAUGAUGUCAUUUCACUGUUAUUCUAUUUUGUGACUAACGUUUGAAUCAUAUGUAAGAAAAAUUUGAAGUAGAUAAAGACUGAAAAGAUUACAUGUUGGGUAUAGCCUCAAAUAAAUAUAGAAGCUAUAAAAAUAUGAUGAAUGCAAAAUACUAUGACCCUUGGCAUAAGGAUGCAUGAGGAGAGGUUAAUACAUAAAUCACCAUUUGUCUCUGAUGUUGAUUGGAAGUGGCUUGUCUCUGAUGCAUAAACCAAAUCCCCCACUGAAUGUUUGAUAUUUGAUAGCAGGAAAAACACACCCGCAGCUAUACACCUCCAUCAUUCAGAUAAUUAUAGUGGGGGAGAUGAUUCAUGGUUGCCCUUAUACCCUUUAUUUGCACCAUCUAUUGAGAUUCUUUAUCAUGGCCAGGUUUUACUGCAGCAAUAAGAUAUGGUGGCAACAAUUUUAUCUAUAGGUGCGGUUCCAGACCGCCUCCAUAGGUGCGGUUCCUGACUGCCUCCAUAGGUGCCUCUUCUUGUAAUGUUUGUUCUGGGAAUUACACUUGAAAGCCUUAUCGUGAUAAGGGAUUACAAACACUAGUUCAGAGGACAGCCAUGUUAAACUUCCACUAUGUUUGUGUCACAUUAUCAGCAGCCUAGUGUUUAUUGGUCAUGCUAUCUGCAACUAAUAUAACCCGGUGAACUUCAAUCUAAAUUCUGAAAGUACUCAUGUGACAGAUGGUGCCUUUCAGCAGAUAUCAUCAAUUUAAAAGUAGUGUGUGUGCCUAUAGGUGGGAAGGCCUUGGCAAAUGUUCAGUAUUCCGGUAAUUCAAGAAGGAUAUAUCUAAAAUAGAUUUUCUUCUUGCCCAUUUCAAUAGUUAAAAUUUGAGAAGAUUGUGUCCACAUCACACAAAUAUUAUUGGUCCUUCUGUUGCAAUUUACCUCUGAACAUGUCUUCCAAUUCCCACGGUCCUGUUACUCCAGGAAAACUAUUUCGGUCAUAUUGAAAAAAAAAAUAUUAAAGAAGGUACACAUGCUUUUAAGUGGACUGGGGCAUUCAUAUCAGGUGGUCUGUAUCCACAUAUGCCACUUCGUGAAAGGUGGAACAGCCUAAUCACUAGGCUAUUUAGUGUGGCCCAGCCACGUUAAUCAAGCACAAGUCUUCAUACUUAAAGUCAAAUGGUGUCUUUAGUCUCAUUACACAUCGCUAUUUGAAGAUUAACUCAUCACUAGUGUAAUGCGAUUAAGACAGUCCUAACUCAAUAUUUGUUCUAGUUUUGGAUGCAAAUGCUUGCUGGUUUCAUCAUUGGAUGGGAUAAAGGUGCAAUCAGGACUAUGAAUACGUGCAGUAAUACUUCAUUCUCUUUUUUCUCAAUGAGACUUCUUGGCACAAUUUUGCUGCUCAGCAACCUACCUUUCCAUGGAAAAUCAGUUGUGACUGAUAGUAAUGGAUAUAUUCUAGAAAGCUAAACAUAGAUAGCAUUCAAUAUUAUCGAUAUAACAUUAACAGCGUAUGUCUCAAUGCUCAUCAGCUACAAGCAAUGGACAAACACUUUGAGUAACUCACAGCAGUCAAAAUUCCUAAACAGGACAGACGUGACAGAUCUAUAUAUAGAACACUGCAUAUGAGUCACAGGAAAAGAUAAUACGGGUACAUAGAAGCUCUUAUUUUACAUAUUACUCAUACUGAUCAAAGUCGCUCAGUUGGGAUGGAUGGGAGAAGGAGGUUUGAGGGGUGGCUUGUGCGGGGAAGUUGGCAGCUUCUUUCCGGGAGCUGGUUGCUUCUUUGCUGGAGUUGAAGGAGGCUUAAUCUUCCGAGGUGGCUUGUAUGAGUCUUCAGCAUUCUCAGCAGGAGGGUGACCAGGGUUGUGACCAUAAUGUGGUGGCUUCUCUCCCUUAGGUGGUUUGCCAACUGGGGUUGGUGGCUUGUUUUCUGGGAGUGGCUUCUCUCCCUUGGGUGGUUUGCCAACUGGGGUUGGUGGCUUGUGUUCUGGGAGUGGCUUCUCCCCCUUGGGAGGUUUUUCGAAUGGGGUGGGUUUGUGUCCUGGUGGUGGCUUCUCUCCCUUGGGAGGUUUACCAAUUGGGGUCGGUGGCUUGUGUUCUGGGAGGGGCUUCUCUCCCUGGGGAGGUUUAGUGGGUGGCUUGUGUUCUGGAGGUGGCUUCUCCACCGGAGGCUUAUGCUCUGGUGGUGGCUUCUCGAAGGGGGGAUGCUCAGGGUAAUCACCAAGUGAGGGGGUGGUGAGAACCACCAUGCCAAGCAACAACACUAGCAAGUAUGUAGUAGACAUCUUUGGGUUUGGACUCAGACAGUGCAAAACUACGAGAAAUCGCUAGCCCUUUAUAGCGGCUCGGACCUAAUACUGACAUAAUAUAAAAUAAAUAUUAUAUUUUAUCAAGAGAGAACAGAGUGUAAUUUUAUCAUUAAUACCGAUCGAGGCCAAAGAAAGAAGACCCAUAAUCCAUUUCCCACAAGCAUACACAAUGCAGCUGUAAUUUUAUCAUUUACUUUUAUCCCUUGGACCACUGCAUUUUUGUUGAGAGACACAAUAACACAUUUUUAUCUGUCAUUCAACAUUUACAGUAAAGAGAGGGCACAAAACGCAAUUAGAUAAAUUAUGUUUUGCCUGCUAAAAAGAGGCAAAUAACUUUAUUUGCAACAUAAUUAUUUUGGUUUCUAGUGACCCCGGGGCCUUUCGGUUGGUUUGGGAUCGGAAAAUGAACAUCAUAGGGGGGGUUGUGCCCUUAUGGGCAUAUAUAUCUGAUAGCUUCAACUGGCCUUGUUCCUAGAAAGAAAUUGCCAAAGAUAUAAACUUAUUCCAGGCUGAAAGUAGAUGAGAGUCAUAAUGAACAUCAACCUUUGUUCAGUUUGAUUCAAUGCCCCCAUAGUGUUCAUUUCACAGAUCUGAAUGAUUAUAUCCGUUGAAUACAUAAAUUAAUGAAGACAAAUAUGAAACCCAAGAUACAUCUCUGCAUAACAACCCCAACCCUGGUUGCUAUGUUUCCCUUCUUCUAUUCACAUGAGGAUACUGGUUAUAAUUGUCAAACUUGCAACAAGCCCUUUGACACCUAACGUCAAUGGACGAAUUAAAAGUCUCCUUCAAACGUCUAUUUCACAGCAUGAAGCUUAUAAAGGAUGCUGACAACCUUCAGAGUUAGCGACAAAAGAUAAUUAUCAAGGAGAGAUAGUUCCAUGAGAAUUCCAAGGAGUCUGAAUCAAAGACAAAUUGCUCACUCAAGGGUUCUUAUUUUCUUUUAGGUACAAAUCUCUUGAGUGUUGUUAAAGAAACACGUCACUGUCAUUUUGAUUUGCAUUUAACAUUUCACUUUUGUUCUGGAAGGUUUGUUCCGGAAACAUAUCAAAUGAGCAUCAUUUUCUUCUUCGGUGACACAUGGUCGCGAGUACGUGGGUCCAUUUUCAUGCCACUUAGUUGAAAAGUUGGAAAGAAAAAACAUGCCAACAAGAAGAUAGUGAGAGAAGGGGCACUUCAAGCCUUUAACAUGAACAAACAGUAAAUAAAAGAUGUUUCUCCACUCAUAAAAGUGUGUUAGAUAGCAAUAUAACGAAUCACAUCCAAAAUCUUUACUAGGCUCAAACAUAAAGAAGACUCAUUUUUAAGAAAAGAUAAAAAUGGCAUUGUCUGAUAGUAUCCAAUACACGAGAUGGCACUUAAUUUGUACAAGAUCUGUCAAUGCUGACGCACAUUUUCUGAUUAAAAAAAAACUGAUCAGUCAAAAGCAAUGAAGAGAAGUGAUGACAAUGAAUGAUGCUUCCAAUAUUUUCACCCCUUAUAGUGUUCUUCAUGAUUCAGAUAUAUAAUUGGAAAUAGAACAACCCUAUGCCAUACAUUCGUCUAAGUAUGGUGUCUAAUUUUUUGUGUCAGCGGUUGCGAAUGGAGCGUGCAAAAGUCCAAAUUGGCGUCUCUCCAUUUCCACAUAGGAAGGUGACCUUUAUUGACAAAUACCCAAUAUUUGUAGACAUUCCUUAAAUAUCAUAACUUCUUGUUGAUUUGAAAAUCAUUUUUCAACUACCAUGUUUUAAUAAAUAUUUUUUAAAAUGUAUUUUUAUCAAAGUCCACCAUGAUGGAUAAUAUUCACCAUGCAAUAAUUAAUAAAGUACAAACUAAGCGAAAUGAAAAGCAUUUUCUUUGCUUUGAGUUGAUUUUGGUUGCAUUGAGUUGAUUUUGGUUUCAUGGUUUUUUCAACUCUUAUUUUGAUUGGAAGAUGUCAAGAAAAGAAAACAUAAAGAAAAAUUAAAAGGGAAAAAAGAAGAAAAAUAAAAAAAAAUAGAUUUAAAAGUUAAUAAAUUAUUUUUUAUAUUUAUUUUAAUUCAUUUCACUUAUUUUUCUUUUACUAUAUAAAAUUUAAAUAAUUUAAAUUUUAUAAUUAAUUUAAUUACAUUUCAUUUUCUUCUAUAUUUAAAUAUUGGAAAAAUAUUUUACUUAAUAUUUUUUUCUUUAAUUUCUUUGGCAUUUUGGGAACCAAACUUAGCCUUUAAAAUAAAAAACAAAAAAAAAAUGAAAAUAAGGAGGGAAAAGUGAGAAAAGAUAAAAACAAUAUGUAAAGGAUUUGAAAAGUAUUAGUUUGUAAUUACUAUUUGGAUUUCAAUAGUAUUUUAUUUGUCUUUCUAUAUUUCAUGUAAGAGAGAAUUUAAGAUAUUCCCCAAGGCAAAGCAUUAGUUACCUGCAAUCAGUGGUGAUAAGGCUCCAAGCCAAUUUUGGGCCCCAUAUCUUAAGACAGUACAAUUUCCAUUUCAACAUUUCUGAUUUCUCAGAUGUUUCACAUACCACAGAAGAACAUUGUUUGUGAAAAUAUGCAUUUAUGUUGGAUUUUGUAUGCUGUGGGGACUGGGGCAAGGAUCAUAUGGAAGAGUGGUUGACUUUUUCUGUACUUUAACGGUUGAAAUAGGAUAAGCACGGGCAUUUGUGAGGCUUAAUUGAUUUUGAAGCCUGAAAUUGCGUUUCUGUCAUUUUGUCAAAAAAAUGGCAGAUUCCAUACUCAUAUGUUUGGCCUGUGGCCAUGUACAGAUGCCAUUUAGUGACCAGUUUGUAACUGUCAAUCGUUGCGUUUUGACUCUGCCUCAACAACAUCUGCCAUUGACGGGUUUUCAUACUUGCAAAUCAAAUAGUCUUUCGUCCCAUCAGGAAUUUCGGUUUAAAUAUUAUUAAGCAUACGUUUGGCUGACAAUCAUUAUCCAGUUCAUGAUUUGGUUUCUUACCCUUAAUCAAUGGUUUCUAAGUGAAUAUAUGUAGAAGGAAAUCCGAAGUGUAGACAGUAGUAUCGAUAACUCUCAAUAUUCUCUAUAUAAUAGAAUAAACAGCGUCAUAGUGAUCGUCGCCUACAAGCAAGGUACAAAUACCAAAACGAGUGACUCACAUAGACAUCUCCCAACAAGAUGUAGUAGUGACUGACACAUGGACACAAUUAACUCGUAGAAAAGGAUAAGACCAUUGCACAGCAGCUCUUAUUUUACAUACUACUUAUGCUAACCAAAGUCAAUUAGUUGGGAUGGGUGGGAGAUGGAGGUUUGUGCGGUGGCUUGUGGGGCGGAGUUGAUGGCUUCUUUCCAGGAGCUUCUGGCUUUUUCAUCGGAGCUGAAGGAGGCUCAAUCUUAUGAGGCGGCUUGUAUGAGUCUUCUUUACUCUCGACAGGAGGGUGGCCAGGGUUGUGAUCAUAAUGUGGUGGCUUCUCUCCCUUAGGUGGCUUGCCAACUGGGGUUGGUGGCUUGUGUUCAGGAAGUGGUUUCUCUCCCAUGGGAGGUUUAGCAAUUGGGGUUGGUGGCUUGUGUUCUGGGAGUGGCUUCUCUCCCUUGGGAGGUUUAGUAGGUGACUUGUGUUCUGGAGGUGGCUUCUCCACCGGAGGCUUGUGCUCCGGUGGUGGCUUCUUGGUUGGAGGGGGCUUGGGGUAAUCAGCAAGAGAUGGGGUGGUGAGAACCACCAGUCCAAGGAACAACACUAGCAAGUAUGUGGGAGACAUUUUUGAGUUUGGGCUGAUCAGAUGAUGCAAAACUAAAGCAUUACGUGACCUUUUAUAGCAUGUAGCUCCCAAUACCCACUAAGUAUUGUGGGGUCCAUUUGUGCCCUACGGGGUUGAAAACUUAGACAAUUGGGCAAGGACCCACCUGACUAUGGAGGACUAGUGAGGUGUGAUCAUAGCUUUAGGAUUUUUCUUCCUCUGCAGCCGUCGUGCCGUUGGCAUGAUUUUCUUAAUCUUAAAUAAAGGCAUAGUUAUAGAGUUGUUUAAUCUCUAAAUGGGAUUUUAUAUAUAUCUUCAGAUAGCCAUUAAUAUAUUUGAUGAAGAAAGAAAGACAAGUGCAUACAACAUGUAUACGACUAGCUUUCAUGGAGUUCAUUUAUGAUCAGUUUUCCUGUACAUGUAAACCAGGAUCAUAUAUAUGUUUCUGUUCCACAACUAUUUUGGAAUCUUGUUUAUCAGUUUUUAUCAUUAUAAUGUCACAUAGGCUGCCAACUUGGGCGCUAAAAGAACCAGUUGGGCUAGUUCGUUUCAGAAUUUCAAUGUGGAUUCAGGAAUUGUUUUGUAAGAUAUGCGAAAUAGUAGAGGGAUGAAUAGUGUUUCAUUAAUAAAAGUGUCCUGUAAAUUAGAAGGUGUCAUAGAAACUAUAAUCAAUAAAUAACUUUUUUUCCCCACGGGUGGUGUUUCUUGUGGGGAUCAGUGACUGGUUUAGGUUCACCCAAAAUGAGUUCAGACUAAAAUUGGUUUGAGUCAAUGCCGUGUCUCUUUUUUCCAGAAAUCAACUAUUUUAUGCAUUGAAUAAAUCAUACAAAGAAAAUAUGAACGCCCGCAAAACCUAAACCCUGGUUGCUAACUUUCUAUGUUUCAGUUCUAUUCACGCAAGAAUAUUAGUUUAAGUUUGGGAAAAAUGGCAACUUACCUAGUGAUUACUUGGUUUUGGUUUGCGACUAUUUACGCAACCAACCAUGAGUUUGACUUUAACGUCAUGGGUUGAAGCCUCCUACAGGAAGGGAGAAAGCUCCACAGCUAGCUCCAAAAGAGAAUUAUCACAUUGAUAGCUCCAGAGAUUCCCAAGGGGACUGAAUCAAAGACAAGUUCCUCACUUUUUCUUCUUUUGAGGCCAAAUAUGAACCAAGGAUCACACAACCUCAUUCAACUUCAUAAGUUUGAUUUCAUGCAGUUGAACACUGGGUGAAGGCCAUGACAAGAAUUGAUUCAAAAAUUCUAUCACUCUUUUAAGUAAUGGAAGAUUAUUAUCUCUGAUUGGCAUCACAACAGCACAUGCUCCUAGAUCUUUCUAGACACUCCAUGCAAUGAAAGCACAAUGGAUCUUGUAACGAUAGAAACUAAGCCAUGCUACAGUACUAGAUGAUGAGGUAAAACUAGUAGACACGGGUGGCAGCCUAUAUGGGAGGGACACAAGUCUAAUUGAUUUGCAUUUCAGCAUUAUAGAUAGGUAUGUUUUGGAAGAUUUGUUCUGGAAAUACCGCACCAAGUAGGAUUCUUUUUCUCUUUAGUGGGUCCACUUGCAUGCCAAUUAACGAGUUGAAAAGUAUGAGCACCUACCUCGUGCUCGUGGAACCGAAGGUCAGUGAAGUGGGGCUCCUUUUGGCCUCGUGUAAACUUGAUUCAGAAGUGAAGUUAAUAGUCUUCCAUUCAGAUGGAUACAUGGGAAUUUUUCUCUUUUAUUUAUUUAUUUAUUUUUUUUUUGUGUGUGUAUGUCAAAGGAUAAUGAAUGAAGCGCGUUAGCUUGUUUUCUGACUGGAACCGCAGAUGUCCAAAUUGGAGUUCCUUCAUUUCUUACUUAGGAUUGUUACAUGUAUAAACAAGGUAUAAGAAAUAUGCCAACGUGUCUUGAGGAGUUAUUGAUUAGAAAUAACAAGUCACCCGACUGUAGAGUUCCAAGAUUUGAAUCUUCAGACCCUAUAGCAGCCUCUGGGGUACGUGGCAUCCUAUAGCAUAUUAAUGAAGGCUUUUUCGAUUUAGACUUCACAAUACCAAUUAAUAUGUAUGCACAAAAUGGAGAUGACCCCAAAAAAAACAGAAUCGCCAUAGUUUAUGAGGUUAAGGUGAUUCUCCACUUAAUAUCUACAUUAGCUAAUUAUGUAAAUCAAAUGAACUUCUAUUUUUCCUUUUUUUUUUUGGUUUAUGUCAAAUAGUAGCCCAUAAUUAACCCAACCAUUAGCCUGUUUGAAUUGAUUUCACAUGCACAAUGUUGUAGUAGUUCAUAUUUUGAAUUUUAUUUUUACAAAGGUAGUUAAGGAAAAUGAAGUAUAAUAAUUAUAAAAGCAGACUAUAUACACUACAAUAAUUGUUAGAAUGGUAUCUCAAAUUCUAAUUUAAAAUAUUAUUUUUUGUAAAAGAAAUAUUAUAUAGAAUAUUUCCUAAUUUUAUAAAUGAUUAUAAUUAGAUCUUUAUAAAAUAAGGAAAGUUGGUAAGAAUAUCUUUAUAAAUAUUUUAGGUCAUGAGAGAAAGAAAUGGGAUAAAAAUGUGAUGAAGAGGUGAAAUAAGAGAGUUGAUUAGGAUAUAGAUGUGAAGAAGAAAGGGAUUCAAUAUAUAUAUAUCUUUCAAUUACCACAUUAAAACCCUGUGAACCUUUUAUAUGGUUUACUUUAUUUUUAUAUUCCUCCUUUAAUAUAUUUACAUUAAUGCUUCCAUUGGCACAACAAUAACGAAUUACAAAUACAAGCAACAAGUCCCAUGUUUUAUUACCAAAAGCAGGUAAAAUCCACCUAAUAUAUUACAAUAUAUUCAUCCAAUAUUUUAGACCAAUUCUUCACCAUAAAUAUCAUAAUGUGGCUUUUGUUCUUUCUUAAAUUUAAAUUGAAUUGUCUUAUAUCAAUUUGUUUGUGAUUUUUUCAUUAACUUCACUUUCAUUUGGUUAUCUUUGGUUUUUGAAAAGUAUUAAGGAAUUAAUUAACAAAAUAAUGUUAAGAAAAAUAAUUUUCUCUCUUUUGAUUUUGAUUUUGUAGUAGAAAAAUAUAAUUAAAAUUAUUUAAAAAGUAUGUAAUUUUAAAUUAUUUAAUAUUUAGAUAAAAAAAAUAAGUCUAAUGAGUUUAAAAUAACAUAUAAAAAUAAUUUAUUUAUUUUAAAUUUAUUUUUUAUUUUCCAUUAUGUUCUCUUUCUCUUUUACUUUUUCAUAUUUUUUCUUACGAAGAAUCAAACACAACCUCAUAUUAUAUGUCAAGUGUUUGUCUAUAUUUGAGCAAUGUUAGAUACGGCCAUGGAUUCAUCAAACUAAACUGAUUUUAAUAGAUACUUCACAAAUUGAUUUAUACACUAAAUCAUUGGAUAGCAAUGAUGCAUUGGAAUUAAACGUAGGAUGAAGCUCGAAGAACACUGUUUGUGUAACAACAUAUUUAUGAAAUUAUGCAAAGGAUGAGCUUCGGGGUAGUAGUACAAGGUCAUUAAUGGAGAGCCGUGUUAAACCUUGAUUGUGAUUGGAUUCCGUUAUCAGCAACAGCAACCUUGUUUGUAACCUUGAAAGUCAUUCUGUCCACAUCGAAACUCCAAUUUGACGUUUGUAAUUACCAUUCCUGGAGUGUUCCUUGAUUGAAAUUUAAAUAAUAAUUGCGGCCCACAAGGAAUAUUUUCGAUUCUGUGGGAAUUUGACAAGGUUUGUUAGAGAAGACUGGUGACAUGUUGACUUCAAUGGUUCAAAUAGGAGACGUAUGUGGAUUUGGGGGGUUUAAUUGAAACUGAGUCCCUAUGGCUUUUUAAUAUUUGCAUUGAGCAGUCUCCAUGUGACUUCCUAAUUCCCACCAACCCUCCUGUCCAUGCUGUGAAACUAAAUUGUAAUUUAUCAGCCUUUGUCAAUGGUUUCUAAAUUAAAGAUAUAGACCAUGCAUGUACUUUAAUAAAAGCAAAUCUAAAGUGUAGAUAGCAGCAAUGGUGACACCCAAUAUUCUCCAUAAAAUAGAAUUAGAAUAAGCAGUGUUACAUUGUUCAUGAUCACCUACAAGCAUACAAGAACUUCCAUGAAUAACUCAUAGCAAUUGCCAACAGGGCGUCGUAGAGACUCAUACAUAGAACACUAUCCACCCAGAGGAAAGGACAAGACCAGUGCGCUGCAGCUCUUAUUUUUCACAUGUAUACCACCACUCGUAAUAACCAAAUUCACUCAGUUGGGAUAGGUGGGAGAUGGUGGUUUGUGGGGUGGCUUGUGGGGAGGAGUUGGAGGAGGCUUUAUUUUCUGAGGCGGCUUGUAUGAGUGUGCAGGAGGAUGCCCGGGAGUGUGACCAUAAUGUGGUGGCUUCUCUCCCGUAGGUGGUUUGCCAAAUGGGCUUGGUGGCUUCUCUCCCUUAGGAGGUUUACCAAUUGGGGUUGGUGGCUUGUGUUCUGGGAGUGGUUUCUCUCCCUUGGUAGGUUUGCCAAUUGGGGUUGGCGGCUUAUGUUCUGGGAGUGGCUUCUCUCCCUUGGGAGGUUUGCUAAUUGGGGUUGGCGGCUUAUGUUCUGGGGGCGGCUUCUCUCCCUUGGGAGGUUUGCCAAUUGGAGUUGGCGGCUUAUGUUCUGGGAGUGGCUUUUCUCCCUUGGGAGGCUUGCCAAUUGGGGUUGGCGGCUUAUGUUCUGGGGGUGGCUUCUCUCCUUUAGGAGGUUUGCCAAUUGGAGUCGGCGGCUUAUGUUCUGGAAGUGGCUUUUUUCCCUUGGGAGGUUUGCCAAUUGGGGUUGGCGGCUUAUGUUCUGGGGGUGGCUUCUCUCCCUUGGGAGGUUUGCCAAUUGGAGUCGGCGGCUUAUGUUCUGGGAGUGGCUUCUCUCCCUUGGGAGGUUUUGUUGGUGGCUUGUGUUCUGGAGAUGGCUUCUCCCCUGGAGGCUUGUGCUCCGGAGGUGGCUUCUGAAAUGGCGGGGGCUUGGGGUAAUGAGCAAGAGAUGGAGUACUGGUGAGAACCACCAUUCCAAGCAACAAUACUAGCAAGCAUGUGGGAGACAUCUUUGAGUAGUUGUAGCUAAGAUGGCGCAACACUGUAGGCAUUGGGUGGCCUUUUAUAAAGGGCUGGACCCAACAGCCAUAUGACACGUGUCAUGAUGACAAAUGAAGUUGAGGGGAUCCAGAUGGGUCCUACUGAGUCGAAAACUUGCACUAAUUGAUCUGGUGAGAUGACUAUUUCUGUCCUUUUGCCCUUCUCGGCCACCCUGUGCUGUUUUCCUUUUGCACGAUUUUCGUUGCCAAACAAGCAAAUAAUAUUUCGCCAAGAAAGAGGAGAGUGAAUGUGGAAUGCAUCAAGUCCCAUCAAGGAUGGCAGAGAAGAAAUAGAAGAUUGCCCAACUGUGAUAAACAUAGCAUACACGUAGCACCAGGAACUUCAUUUACUUCCAUCUAAUGGAACAUAACAAUCUUCUAAAGUUUUUGCAUGAUUUUGUUAUAUGUCUCUUAGCCUAAAGUUGGAAAUGCGCAACAAAUUUUGUCACUUCUCUAUUUCCCACUGAUGAUGUUAAUUAGCCUUCAUAGAUAUCAUCCUUUCUACAAAGUGCUUCAUUUGUGUGUUAUUGUAAAGUGUAAGAAAAGUAAUUGAACAUGUUCUUUUUCCUUUCAUAGAUGACUUUUGAUGUGCAUUUUAAAAGCAGCGCUGUGAGUCGGUGACCUUGAUUCACACGGAAACUAAGGCUCCUAUAGGACCCACUUUUAGCUGGUUAGGGGUGAAGAAAAUAUCAACUUUUCAGAGUGAUUUAAGUCAAGGCCAAGCCUCACUGUGUCAUUACUCGUGUGAAUUUUAUAUGCACAUACAUACAUAAAUAAAGUAUGAGACCCAAAUAACACCUUCCCUUUACAAACUUAACCCCAGCCGCUCUCUUUCAAUUCUUUUCACACAAGGGUAUUGACUCUAUAAAGGUCAAGAAAAUCAUAAUUUCCUAGGGUUUACAAGGUAAUUGGCUUAAUGCUAAUGUGAAAACAUAAAAGAUAAUAGUAUAUUGUAAGCUAACGAAUAUUCUAUAGUUAUAAUUAUUUGUGAUGUGCAUAAAUAAAUCUUCAUAUAUAUAAUGGAACAAUGAAUAAAGAACCAAUGAAAAAAUACUAUAUAUCAUUGCUUGGCAUUUAAACCGUAUAUGCUGCUCUUUCUAGCUACUCCAUCCACUGAAAGACAACAAGGUAAUCCAUGUUAUAAUGAUAGAAGAUACUGUCUCUAGGCUUUUUGUGAUGAAAAAUAUAAGAUAUGGGUAGGGUUGACCCUUGUAUGUUUGUCCUAUAAACACUUCAAAGUAACAUAUUUUUCUUCUUUAGCAACUCAUAAUGAUGGGGUUCAUUUGCAUGUCACUGAGUUGAAAAGUUGGACAAUUGCCCAUGUCGCCUUCCUCCUAGAUUCCGUAGUUCACGGGAAGGUAACUCAAGUUUGACAUAUUUUGAAUUCUUUUCACUCGGACGUCUUCAUAACCUGACAAAACAAAAAUGAAAAACAGAGGAUUGGUAUAUUAUUCAUGGUAAGCCUCAAAUUAUAGUAGUAUGAGAAAGGAGAAAAAGAUUUUGGGAACUCCAAUCUGGAUAAUUCUCGUUUCUUCUCUUGAAUAAAAAUUUCACUUACCUAACUUCGUUUGGAGAAAUGGCAUAUUUUAAUUUUGUACGUCAUUGCUAAUAAAUGGAGCAAUUUAGCAUGUUUUGUGACUGAAACUGCAAAUGUCCAAUUGGCAUUUCUUCAUUUCCCACUUAGGAUCUGAUCUUGUAGACCAUAUAACGAUAUGUAUCUGUGCAAGCAUUGAAAACUAAUGUGAACUAUGAGGAGUUACAAGCCACUGGACUGUAGAGCGAGUGCCAAGAUUUAAAUCUUCAGGCUCUAUCUGGGUAAGGGGAGGAUAGCGACCUAACCUUUUACCAAAGGCUUAGAAUUUAGACUUUUGGAAAAAAAUUUCUCAUGUUUUGGCUGGAUUUCUUGUGCUUGGCGCAAAAAGGAGAUGGCCUCAAGAAAUAGCAGACUCACUUUUGUUUUCAGCCCUUAAUAAUUCUCCACUGCUUUCCAUAACUACAUGGGUUAUACAUGCAGUCUGCUGCAAUAUUCCAGUUAUAUUUAUUAUUUCAAAGAGGGUGAAUGACUUCACAUGCAAUAUGUUGCAGUAACAACCCAAAUUUUGGCACACCAUCUUAAGAAUAGAAAAGUAUAAUAAAAGAAAUCAAUCAGAGAAUCACUUUGCAUGCAGUUCAUAGAGUUCGCCCAAAAUGGAGCCACAUGUACGGACAACCCCACAAUAGACAAUCUUCUCUAUACAGUAAUAAAAUACAGAAAUGGUUAAUGAAGCUCUGUAUUUCCUUAUCAUAUAUGACCGGUUGAAAACUCAGCAAGUCUUCCUCAAUCACAGACAGUUGGAGUUGCUUCAUCAAAAUCAUGCCUUCAUUACUGGCUUCAUUUUGGUUUCAAUGUCUGUUCUACCCUUAAAUUGGGUCUCUGCUUACUACCGGGAUAUCCUUUAGCGUCCUGCAAUUCUACUAGAUUAAAGAGAAUGACUUAAUUCUGCAUUCUGCCGUCCCUAGUCCAAGUGGUACUAGAAUUGAUGUUUCCUUUAGUGUCCUUUCUUCAUACUUUCAGGUUCUUCCCUUGUUUCAAUAAUGCUGUUUUCCUUCAUGUUUAACCUCUGUUGAACCACUUAAAACAACACAAUUUGCACACCAAUGUUUCUUUACAGAAAAGACUGUUUGCAAAAAUGCACAUGUUAUAAGGUUAAUGGAAGAAUUAAUUUGGGGAUAAGGGACUAGGAUUGGGCCAAUGAAGUUUGGUGUUAAAUUUUGAUUAUGAUUGCUUUUCAUUAUCAGGUACCUUAUAUUUGCUGAUGCUAUCUGGAACUAAAUUCAAAUCAGACAUUAUCCGAUUACUAACAGGACAUAUCAUGUCCCUCUGCAGAGUUUCUAAACUAACAUGUAUCGAAAUGUGGCCCCAAAAGGAAGGCUAGGAAGAUGGAGGAUUUUGUAGGAAUCGACCAGAAUCAGAUGGAAGAGAGAUAGUCCUGUUGACUUUAAUGGUUGUGAUAGGAACAUGCAUCAUUAUAUGAGAAGUUGCAUGAAUUUAUGUAUCCUGUUAUCGUUCCUUGACGAUUUCCCAAUGCAAUUUCACUGUCCACAAGACUAACCUCUCCAUGCAGUCAAAUGAAUUGUAAUUUCUCUAUUGGUACCAGUAGUACAUUUCAUACCAAACAUAUAGUAAAUAUAAAAUAUAAAUAGAUCAAGGAAAUCUGAAUUGUAGAUAGCACUGCAAGUAACACUCAAUAUUCUCUAUAUAUAAUAAAAUAAACAGUGUCACAAUACUCAUCACCCAGUGGCAAGGGAGAAAAACCUACAAUGAGUACUCAAAUCACCAUUCUCAAACAGAAACAUAGCAGUGACUGAUACAUAGAACCUAUAUGCUCACAGGGAAAGAAUAAGAUGACCAGUGCACAGCGGGCAGCAGCUCUUAUUUUACGUACAACUCAAAUCCCAAACUAACCAAAGUCGCUCAGUUGGGAUGGGUGGGAGAUGGUGGUUUGUGGGAUGGCUUCUGGGUAGGAGCUGGUGGCUUCUGUCCCUUUGGUGGUUUGCCUAAUGAGCUUGGUGGCUUGUGCUCCGGGAGUUGUUUCUCUCCCUCGAGUAGGUUUCGAGUCUUGUCAGAUGGCUUGUGUUCUGGUGGUGGCUUCUCUCCCUGGGGUGGUUUGCCGAAUGGGCUUGGUGGCUUGUGUUCGGGGAGUGGCUUCUCUCCCUGGAGAAGGUUACGAGUUUUGUCAUAUGGCUUUUGUUCUGGUGGUGGCUUCUCUCCCUGGGGUGGUUUGCCGAAUGGGCUUGGUGGCUUGUGUUCGGGGAGUGGCUUCUCUCCCUGGAGAAGGUUACGAGUUUUGUCAGAUGGCUUGUGUUCUGGUGGUGGCUUCUCUCCCUGGGGUGGUUUGCCGAAUGGGCUUGGUGGCUUGUGUUCGGGGAGUGGCUUCUCUCCCUGGAGAAGGUUACGAGUUUUGUCAGAUGGCUUUUGUUCUGGUGGCGGCUUCUCUCCCUGGGGUGGUUUGCCAAAUGGGCUUGGUGGCUUGUGUUCGGGAACUGGCUUCUCUCCCUUGGGAGGUUCAGUUGGUGGCUGCUGUUCCGUAGGUGGUUUCUUCACCGGCGGCUUGUGCUCCGGAAGCGGCUUCUCUACCUGGAGAAGCUUACGAGUUUUGUCCGAUGGCUUGUGUUGUGGUGGUGGCUUCUCUCCCUGGGGUGGUUUGCCAAAUGGAGUUGGUGGCUUGUGUUCGGGGAGUGGCUUCUCUCCAUUGGGAGGUUUAGUUGGUGAUUGGUGUUCCGUAGGUGGUUUCUGAAGUGGGGGAUGCUUGGGGUAGUCAGCAAGAGACGAGGUAGUGAGAACCACCAGUCCCAGCAGCAACACUAGCAAGCAUGUGGAAGACAUCUUUGAGUUCAGGCUGAGAUCUGUGCAAGGAUAACAGAAUUAGGUGGCCUUUUAUAGAGGCCUGGACCCAACACCCAUAUGACACGUGUCAUGCACUCAUGGUGACACAUAAUUCUAUGGGACCAUUUGGGUCCUACAGAAGUUGCAAAGUUGGACUACUGAGGUGUGAUCACAACUUUUGUCCUUAUUGCUUUCUCUGCGGCCAUUGCACGAUUUCCUUUAGCAUCAUUUUCUUGGCUAAAUAAGCGUAUUAUAUUUGUGGCAGACCGUCCACGUGUCAUAAACAGAUAUAUUAUAAUAAUGUAGUAUGCUUUUCUCCAAUGGAACAUGACACUCUUCUAAGUCUUGUUUUAAAUAUUGUGCAGGAUUACUUUAUACGUUGCAGUUCCAAGUCAAAAUUGGUGGGCAAACGUUGGCCUUUUUUCAUUUCACCUAAGAUUAAUGCUCACCUGGGAUAGGCACUACAUGACUUAUCUGCUCUUUUACUGUAAAGUUGCUUUGUGUAUGAGAUACACCUCCCCUGCACACCCUCAACAUUCGUUGCUCUGUUUUCCUUGUGUCCAGACGAGGAUAUUAAUUGGAGGCUGACAAAACGACUGCUAGCCCAGGAUUUACAAGGUCCUGGUUUGAGGCUUCGGUGAAAGUAUUUUUGAAAAGACACACAUAGAGAUAGUGCGUUUGGUGCAAUGCAGCACUGUGAGCCAUUCUGACGCGUUCUUAAUUUCAAAACUAAUGAAUGCUUCAAAAUUUUAAGAAGUGACAUUUCCAAAUAUUUGAGUUCGUUUAAUUGAACAUUGGAUAACUAGUGAUCAUAGAUUAUUAUCUGUGCUUGGCACUAUAAGAGGGUAUAUGCUUCUUUUUCUGGCCCCUCCUUCAAGGGAGGAGGGACAAUGUGAUCUGUAACGUUAGAAGCUAUUCCAUGUCAUCUUUGGGCUCAGUUCAAAACUAAAAGAUAAUGGGGGGGGGGGGGGGGGGCAUAUCAUUUUAUAUUUCUUCUAGAAGGUUUGUUCUGGAAAUAUUUCACAGGAGCAUAUCUUUUUCUUCUAUUACGUCAUCCGCAGCCUCCAAUAGGUCGGUUAACAAGCCACCGAGUUGAAAAGUUGGAAAAAUGGGAACACAGCCCGCCUCUUGUAUUCAGUAGUUAAAUAAAAGGUCACUAGAAGUGAGAUCCCUUUUGGCGUCUUGAUUUUCAAUCCAGCACCUCUGUGACCUGACAAACCAAAAAAACUAAAAAAUAAAAAACAGUACGUGGGUUGGUGUUAAGCAUCAAGACAUGUUAAUGAAAGAAGGUAGAGAAUAGGAUAUUGAAAUCCCAAUCCUGAUAACAUGAUUUUCUUUGCUAACAACCAUAUUAUAUUUUAUCAAGAAAGAGUAAUGCAUGUGGCGUCCAUCAAGACCCAUUAGAGUUCCGCUAAAGCUAUAGUUCUGUCAACGUUAUCAUUUACGUUUCCUCUAGAUAAUGGCAUUUUCCUCUAAAGCUCUUGCACCAUUAGGCUUCAAGUCAAAAUUUCACAUGUGAACUUUGGAAAUUUUCUCCAUUUGCCCCUAAGGAUACAGUUAGAAUUGACUUAAAAUCCUGAUUGAUAUGUACUAUUAACCAAAGAAUAUUGUAUAUAAUAAUUGAAAUAUUGUUGAUUCAUCGUGGAAAUACAUUUUGUAAGGAAAGUUGUUGAGAAUUUAGUAUGCUAUAUGGAGAAAAAAGUCAUGACUUAAGGUUGUGUAUGUAUAUUCUAUAUCAAAUAUUAGGUAGGAAUGUGGGAAAGAGCAGAGUGUAAUGAUAAGAAACAAAGAAAUAUAAGAUAUUCUUGAAAGUGGAAAAUAUAAAAUGGCUAACGAGUCAAAUUUAUGAUGCGUAAGGGGGAUCAUGUCACAUAAGAAAACCAUGGCAUACUAAAGACGUACGUGUGGUAUGGAGUAAUAAUUUUGUUAAAAUAAGUUUCUUGUUGGAGUACAUUAGGUGACUAUUCAUAACGUAUCAAAUUAAAGAGUCAAGUGCAUCAAUGAAGGCAUAUGUAGAAAAUUUGUUUGUGACAUGUACCAUAAAGAUAAGAUUGACUUGAUAGAAUUUAGUCUAAGUAGGAGUUGUUAAAGGUGUCUUAAAUUUCUAAUUGAUGUAUAUUUUUUUCUAAAAAAAUAUUAUAUAGAUAUUUUAAUAAAUGAUUAAUUCUUUGUAAAAAUACUUACAUAAUAAAAAACAUCAUUAAAAAUAUCUUUAUAAAUAUUUUAAGUUACAAGAAGGAAAAAAACCACUGUGAGAUAAUGAUGAACAUGCAACACUGUACCAAGUAAAUAAAAAUGUGAUAAAAAAAAAAGAGAAACACUCGAUAAAGGAAGGCUCGUAUAUAAAGAGUAAUAUUUUUAAUCAUAUGAUAGAAUGAUUUUCUCUCAUUCAUGAAUAUAGGCAAGAUUGGGGAACCAUUAUAAAAUUUUGUACACCUCGUGUAAAUUGAUGUUUGUCUUCAUAUUUUACACCAACAAAUGACAUUGAAGUUGUCAUUGAUAAAAGGGAAAAGGCAUGCCUCCACACCAUGUGCUUGAUUCGAAUGGUUCAAGUUUGAAGAAUUUUCUCCGGAAGAUCUAAAACAUUUUCGCCUUUAAAUUUCAUUUGAUUAUUAAUAUCCGAAAAAAUAGUUAAAUACUCUUUCUAUUUUUGAGUUGUUGAAUUUUUUGAAAGUUUUUAUAUUUGUUAUCAAGAAUUUCUAUUUUAUUAAGGGUGAAUAUUUAUAAAUAAGAUAUUAUAUAAUAUUUGGAUAAGAGAGAAUGGUGGAAUAUAAUAAAGUUUUAAUCCUUCCCAAUUUUGAACCUUUUUUUUUUUUUUUGAUAUAAUCGCCUUUCUCUUGCAAUCCUAUUAUCAGGUACCUUAUAUUUGCUGAUGCUAUCUGGAACUAAAUUCCAAUCAGGCAUUGUCCAAUUACUAAUAGGACAGAUCAUAUCUCUCUGUUUCUAAACUAACAUGUAUCGUAAUGUGACCUCAUAAGGAAGGCUAGGAAGAUGGAGGAUUUUGUGGGAAGCGACCAGAAUCAGAUGGAAGAGAGAUAGCCCUGUUGACCUAAUGGCUGUAAUAGGAGAAGCGUGUGGUUUUAUGGGACUUAACUGAUACUAAACCUGUAUGAUGCUUGGAGUGGUGUUUCUUUCAUUUUGUUAAGAAAAUAUGGCAGCAUACAUGCUUUCAACUGAGUGCAUCAGAGCAUCCAUAACAGAUGGUCUGCAACCCUAGGUGCAUGCCACUUUCUGACUGAUAAUGAAAUUGUCAGGUACCUGGCCUUGACUAAGCUCAACAGCAUCACAUAAAGAGAAGCUUUCAUACUUAGAUUACUGUUUAAAGUUUUUGCUUAUUUGAUUUCUUAAUGCCAUUAUGACAUUAUUGAUUCAAUUCUGCUUCCGAUUUUCGAAGUUCUGGGCAUCUACUGAUUGCAUCAUUAUAUGAGAAGUUGCAUGAGUUUAUGUAUCCUGUUAUUGUUCCUUUGCGAUUUCACUGCUCACGGGACUAACCUCUCCAUUCAGUCGAAAUGAAUUGUAAUUUCUUUACUGGUAGCAGUAGUACUUUUCAUAGCAAAGAUAAUAGAAAAUAUGAAAUAUAAAUAGAAGGAAAUCUGGAUUGUAGAUAGCACCAUAAGUAACACUCAAUAUUCACUACAUAAUAAAUAGACAGUGUUACAUAGGUAGAGAAACCUACAAUGAGUACUCAUCACCAUUCUCAAACAGAAACAUAGCAGCGACUUAUACAUAGAACCUAUAGGCUCGCAGGGAAAGAGUAACAUGAUAAGUUCACAGCGGGUAGCAGCUCUUAUUUUACGUAUUACUCAAAAUCUCAAACUAACCAAAGUCACUCAGUUGGGAUGGGUAGGAGAUGGUGGUUUGUGGGGUGGCUUCUGGGUAGGAGCUGGUGGCUUCUUUGUUGGAGUUGAAGGAGGCAUAUUCUUCUGAGGUGGCUUGUAUGACUCUUCGGCACUCUCUGCAGGAGGGUGCCCAGGGUUGUGACCAGAAGGAGGUGGCUUCUGUCCCUUUGGUGGUUUGCCUAAUGGGCUUGGUGGCUUGUGCUCCGGGAGUUGUUUCUCUCCCUCGAGUAGGUUUCGAGUUUUGUCAGAUGGCUUGUGUUCUGGUGGUGGCUUCUCUCCCUGGGGUGGUUUGCCGAAUGGGCUUGGUGGCUUGUGUUCGGGGAGUGGCUUCUCUCCCUGGAGAAGGUUACGAGUUUUGUCAGAUGGCUUUUGUUCUGGUGGCGGCUUCUCUCCCUGGGGUGGUUUGCCAAAUGGGCUUGGUGGCUUGUGUUCGGGAACUGGCUUCUCUCCCUUGGGAGGUUCAUUUGGUGGCUGGUGUUCCGUAGGUGGUUCCUUCACCGGCGGCUUGUGCUCCGGAAGCGGCUUCUCUACCUGGAGAAGCUUACGAGUUUUGUCAGAUGGCUUGUGUUGUGGUGGUGGCUUCUCUCCCGGGGGUGGUUUGCCAAAUGGACUUGGUGGCUUGUGUUCGGGGAGUGGCUUCUCUCCAUGGGGAGGUUUAGUUGGUGGUUGGUGUUGCGUAGGUGGUUUCUGAAGUGGGGGAUGCUUGGGGUAGUCAGCAAUAGACGAGGUAGUGAGAACCACCAGUCCCAACAGCAACACUAGCAAGGAUGUUGAAGACAUCUUUGAGUUCAGGCUGAGAUCUGUGCAAGGAUAAAAGAUUUAGGUGGCCUUUUAUAGAGGGCUGGACCCAACACCCAUAUGACACGUGUCAUGCACUCAUGGUGACACAUAAUUCUAUGGGACCAUUUGGGUCCUACAGAAGUUGCAAAGUUGGACUAUUGAGGUGUGAUCACAACUUUUGUCCUACUUGCUUUCUCUGCGGCCAUUGCACGAUUUCCUUUAGCAUCAUUUUCUUGUCUAAAUAAGCGUAUUAUAUUUGUGGCAGACCGUCCACGUGUCAUAAACAGAUAUAUUAUAAUAAUGUAGUAUGCUUUUCUUCAACGGAACUUGACACUCUUCUAAGUCUUGUUUUAAAUACUGUGCAGGAUUACGUCAUAAGUUGCUUGUUCCAAGUCAAAAUUGGUGGGCAAACGUUGGCCUUUUUUCAUUUUCCCUAAUAUUAAUGCUCACCUGGGAUAGGCACUACAUGAUUUAUCUGCUCUUUUACUGUGAAGUUGCUUUGUGCAUGAGUUACACCUCCCCUGCACACCCUCAACAUUUGUUGCUCUGUUUUUCUUGUGUCCAGACGAGGAUAUUAAUUGGAGGCUGACAAAACGACUGCUAGCCAAGGAUUUACAAGGUCCUGGUUUGAGGCUUUCACGAAAGUAUUUUUGAAAAGAUACACAUAGAGAUUGCGCGUUCGGUGCAAUGCAACAAUGUGAGCCAUUCUGAAGUCUUAAAUUUCAGAUUAAUGAAUGCUACAAAAUUCUAAGAAGGGCCGUUUCCAAAUAUUUGAGUUCAUUCAUCCGAACAUCGGGUAUAUGCUUCUUUCUCUAGCCCCUCCUUGAAGGGAGGAGGGACAAUGUGAUCUGUAUCGUUAGAAGCUAUUCCAUGUCGUCAUCUUUGGGCUCAGUUCAAUACUAAAAGAUAUGGGCGGGGCCCUUAUCAUUUUAUAUUUCUUCUAGAAGGUUUAUUCUGGAAAUCUUUCACAGAAACAUAUCUUUUUCUUCUCUACGUGAUCCGUGGUUUGAAAGUUGGAAAAAUGGGUCCGUUAACAAGCCACCGAGUUGAAAAGUUGGAAAAAUGGCAACACCGCCAACCUCUUGUAUUCGAUAGUUAAAUAAAAGGUCACUGGAAGUGAGAUCCCUUUUGGCCUCUUGAUUUUCAUUCCAGCAUCUCUAUGGCCUGAUAAAUUAAAAAACUAAAAAAAAAGACAGUACGUGGGUUGGUGUUAAGCAUCAAGAGUCAAGACAUGAUAAUGGAGAGAAAGGAUAUUCAAAUUCCAGUUCUGACAACAUGAUUUUCUUUGCUGAACUACCAUAUUAUAUUUGAUCAAGAAAGAGUAGUGCAUGUGGCCAGGAUCAAGACAUACAUUAAUUUCCACAUGAUGAAGACAGUUUCUGAGAGUUUCUUCUAAAGCUCUUGCGCGAGUAGGCUUCAAGUCAAAAUCUCCCAUGUAAACACUGGUUUUUCUUUCAUUGCCACUAAGGAUGCAGUUAAUAUUGACUUAAGAUCCUACGUGAUAUAUUUUUUUAAAAGAGCUAUAUUGUAGAUAAUAUUUGAAAUAAUGUUGAUUCGUUGUGGAAAUAUAUUUGUAAGGAAAGUUGUUGACAAUUUAAUAUAGUAUAAGAAGAAAAAAGUUAUCAACUAGCUAGAGAUGAGUAUGUAAAGUGAGGCUCACGAUUCAACGCGUAAAUAUAAGAUAUUUUAAGGCUCAAUAGUUAUGAUAUCUAUUUUAUUUUUUGUAUCUCAUAUAUUCAAAGAUAUAGUAAAAUGAUUUUACAUAUAUAUAUAUAUAUAUAUAUGAACAUAACUAUUUGUGCCAAUUGAUUUUUAUCUUUAUUUUGUAUAUUAGUAAUUAUAUUAAAGUUUUUACUAAUAUAAUAACUAAUAUAAAAGCUUUUUCUAAAAGAGUCAACAGAGCAAAACACUUAUUAUAAAAAAUAAUUUUGAUUGAAGGUGGAGUCAAUUAUUCUUUAUUUAACAUGUAAUGCAUACGGCGUGUACUUCAUAACUAAAGUAUAUAAGUGUAACAUCUCUUAUAUAUUCUCAUUCAAUCUCGAAAGUGGAAAUUUUAAAAAGAUUAAACGGUUCAAAUUUGUCGUGCAUAAAGGGGAUCAUGUCACAUAAGCAAACCAUGGCAUACCAAAGACAUAGGUAUGGACUAAGAAUUUUUUUCAAAUAAGUUUCUUAUUAGGGUACAUUAAUAGGUGACUUUUUAUGACAUAUCAAAGGAGUCAAGUGCACCAAUAAAAACAUAUAUAGAAAAUUCAUGCAUGACAUGUAUCACUAAGAGAAGAUUGACUUGAUAGAGUUUAAUCCAAAUAGGAGAUUGUUAAAAGGUGUCUCAAAUUCUUGAUUGAUAUAUAUUUUUUUUAUUAAAAAGGUUAUUAUAUAGAUAUUUCAAUAGACUAUUAAUUCUUUGUAAAAAUAGUUAUAUAAUGAGGAUGGUGAUUAAAAAUAUCUCUAUCAAUAUUUUGGAUUAUAAAAAGAAAAAAAAUGAGAUAAUGAUAAACAUAUAAAACUUGUACAAGUAGAUAAAGAUGUGAUGAAAGACACUUGAUGAAUGAAGGCUUUGUAUUUCAAGAUAUAAAUAUAUGGAGCAAAACUCUUAAUUAUAUGAUCAAAUGAUUCUCUCAUAUUCAUGAAUAUAAGCAGGAUUGGGGAACCAUGAUAGAAUCUUAUAUGCCUCUCCAUGUAGAGUGAUCGAUGUUUAUCUUCAUAUUUUACACCAGUGAAUGACAUUGAAACUCUUAUUGAUAAAAGGGAAAAGGCAUGGCCUCCACCCCAAGAAAAACAAGUAACCUCGGUUUAAAUCACUAGUCUACACCCCGAAGAGAGAACUAGCCAAACCUACUAAAAGAGAAACUUAACAAUUUAGAAAGAAACCGUCCAUGAUAAAGGGCCCCUAAAGGUCCAAUUCAGUGAGGUCGUGAACAAAAACACUUUCAUGUCAAAACAGAGAUAGGUACCACCAAAAUGUAAAGGGAAAGAUGUAAACCACGUCGAACUUUGGUAAUCAAUGGUAAAGAUAGCAUGAUAGCUAAAAGCACUAAAGCUGUGCUUGGUAUGCAAAAAUGAAAAGUGGAAAUCAGCGUCUUAUUCUUUUUCACCUUUAUUCACAUAUUAGGAUAACUAAUAUCUAAUGUUUUUUAUGUCUCAAAUUCUAUUCCAUGUUAUGGUAAACUUUCAUCUUGUUUAGAUCACUUUUGUCUGGUUUGGGCUCAAGACGAUAAGCCUAUAGAGACUUCAUAUUGGGUUGAAUCGAUGCCCUUGAUCUGAUCUGUUCGUUAGAAAAAUCUGAAUUAUUAUAAGCAUUUAGAUAAAAAAUAAAUAAAUGUGAAACACAAACUACUCCCUGCACAACCUUGACCCUAGUUACUCAGUUUCACUGCUCACAGGACUAACCUCUCCAUUCAGUCGAAAUGAAUUGUAACAAGAAGAUUUUUGACAGGAGGACGGUAGUUUAAAAUAAUAAUUUCUAAAGUACUUUUGUGAAAAAAAAUAAUUCCAAACGUGGAUUUUAUCAAGUAAAAAGAAAAAAAAAAGUUAUUUUCUUUUAAAAUCUGUUCUUCUAAAGAUGAUAUAUAUACCAAAAAAAAAAAUUGUUUUCUGAAGGUAAAAUUUUUAAAAUUCAUUUUUAAAAAAAUUUACACACUAAAAUUAUCUUUUCAAGAGAAGAUUUUUUUAAUUUUAAAUAAUUAUUAAUUUAUAAUUAAUUUGUUAUUAAUUAUUUAUUAAUUUUUUUAUUUGAAAAAUGCAUUUAUAAAAAACAAAUUUGUUAUUAAUUUAUUAAAUAAUUUUUACAAAAUAAAUAAUUUUUUUUUAUUUUAAUUUUAAAAUUAAUUUUAUUAUAUAAAUUUUAAAAUUAAAAAUAUUAAUAUUUAAUUUAAAAUUUAACUAUAAAAGGAAUAAAAUAUAGAAAAAUAAAUUAAUUUAUUAUUCAAUAAAUUAAUUUUCAAUAAAAUUUUCAGCAUUAAGAGAUAAAUUUUUAAGUAUUAAUCAAUUUAAAAAGAAAUAAUGAUCAUUUGUAUAUUAAGAUAUUUUAUUUAGUAAUUAUGAAUGAUAAACAACUAAAGUAAUUUGAAAAAAUAAUAAAAUAUUUAAAAAAUAAUAAUUUAAUACACGUAAAAUUAGAAAUGAUUAACUAUUUUUUAUUAAGAAAAAAUUGAGGAAAUAUUUUGUUAUUUAAAAUUUUUUAUUUGUUUUCAAUUUUUAAUGUUAUAGGUUUCAAGAAAAUUGAUCAAAUAAAAAUUAAGAAGUCAUUUUUUCAAAAACUAUAUAUCUAAAUAAAAGCCUUGAAAUUCAAAUACACAAUAUCAUAAAUAUAAACACCAAGUCAAUCCUUAAUUAUCAAAUGUUUUUAAUAUUAAAGAAUCAAAAUCACCUACUAUCAUGAUAAUAAGAAAACCAAUAAUAUUGUUCAUAUAAAUACUAAAAAGCUAACAAAUAUCCCAAACAAUUAAUAAAGUAUCAAACAUGAUAAAAAGUCAAUUAUUAUCAUGAAUGCAAAAAAUCAAUAAUUUUGUUUAUAUGAACCAUCAACAAAGAAAAAAAAAAUCAAUAUCUAAAUAUUAAACAUAAUUUAUAUUUUUAUAAAUAUUAUUGUUGAUAAAUAUCUUAACAAUUAUAAUUUUAGUAAAUAAAAUUAAUUAAUUUUAGUUUAAGAAUUAUUUUUUUAUACUUUCGUAUUCUUAUCAAAAAUCCCCAUUUUGCAUGUCUCCUUUGGCAUGACUUUCUUACCUAAACAAGCAUAUAUAUAUAUAUAUAUAUAUAAAAUAUUUGGUUAAGAAAGAGUACUAAAGUUUAUAUGGCACACAUCAAGAUAGAAACAGAAGUGGAAGAUAAUCCAAAUGUAUGAACAGAUAUAUUAUAUCCAUGUAGUGGUAGUGACUUCAUUAUUUACUUUUAUCUAAUGGAGCAUGACACACUUCUUCUGAAUAUUUUGCACGAUUAUGUUAUGUGUCAGCUUGUUCUAAGUCAAAACUAGUGAUAAAAAUCGGUUUUUUUUGCAUUUCCUUCAUGAAGAUGGCACCUGGAUGGGGCACUACAUGAGUGGCAUAGCACGAAGUGAUUUAUCUGCUCCCUUUACUAUAAAGUGCUUUGUGUAUAAGUUACACCUCCCCUGCACUGCCUCAACAUUUGUUGUUCUGUCUUCCGUCUGUCCAAACGAGGACAAACGUAUGUUGUAGGUUGACAAAACCACAGCUAGCCUAGGAUUUGCAAGGAUCUAGUUUGAUUCGUAUGCAAAAGGAUUGGUGAAAAGAUUCACAAAGAUAAUGCUUUUUGCAAUGCAAUCUUGUUCUAAUUCAACAGUGUGGACCAUUUUCAUGUAAUGCUUCAACUAGAUGUCAGUUUCAUGAAUUUUUGUUCAUCUAAUUGAUCACUGGAUAGGCCAUAACCCGAAGAAAUUCAAAAUUCCCUUCAGUACUGUAGCUAAGGAAAGAUCCCUAUCUACCACUGGGAUUUUAAGAGGGUAAAAAUGUAGGUGGGUGCCUAUAUCAUUUGCACUUCACUAUAGGCCUCUUUGGGAAGAUUUCUUCUGAAGACAUUUCAAAGAAACAUAUUUUUCUCUUCUCUCCGUAAACGGCAGCUGCAAGUCAGUCCAUUCACAGGCCACCGAGUUGAAAAGGCUGGAAAAUUGGCCAAAGCACCCGCCUCCUGGAUUCCAUGGGUAAGGAAAAGGUCACUGGAGGUGUGAUCCCUGUUGGCCUCUUGAUUUCCAUUCCGCCAUCUAUAUGACCUGAUAACCCAAAAACACAGAAGGAAAACGUCACCUGGGUUCAUAGUAAGCAUCAAGUCAUGAUAGAGACCAGACAACAUGACCAACAAAGAGUAGCGAAUGGGGCCAACAUCAAGCCCCAUUACGGUUAGAAGAUGGAAGAAGUAGAAGACAAUCCAAUUCUGAUAGAUUCGGGCAAAUGUAGUGCUGUUCAAACUUAAUCAUUUACUAUUUCUUCAUGAAUCACGGCAUUUUUCUUCUGAAAAUUUUCCAAGAUUAGGCCUCUGAAGAAAAAUUUCAUAUGUAAAUUGGUAUAUUAAGGAAAAGGCGUUACAAAGGUGAAAAAAAACCAAUCAAAUCUUAUAUAUGACAUCUCAAAAAUAUGAACUUGCUAUAAAUAUUUAAAAUCAAAAUCUUGCACAUCACCUCGUAGUACGAACUUGCUAUAAAACUUGAAAAUCAAGAAGAAAGGGGCAGUAUUGGACGAGACUACUUAGCACAUAUUAUUAUGAUGUUUUUUCAUUUUCUUAAUGUUGUUUUUAUGUCUUAAAUUCUAUUAUUCUAUGUUACGGUAAACAUUCAUCUUGUUUGUGUGGAAUAGGAUCACUUUUCUCUGGGUUGAGUCGAUGCCCUUAGUUAAUUUGUUCAUUUGAAUAAACUAAAUUAUUAUAAGUAUUUAGAUAAGAAAAACGUGAUACAUAAAUUACGCCUCUCGGCACAACUUCAACACUGGUUACUCUGUUUCAGUUUCCUCACACAAGAUUAUUGGUUCUAGGGUUUAUUUGGUUUUGGUUUGAUUCUAAUUGCUAAACUUUCUCAAGGAAGAUGUUAUAUAGGGAGUGAGAAACCUUCACUCUUGGCUACCUCCAAGAGAAGAGCAAGUGGUCUGAAUCAAAGAUAUACUGCUCACUUUUUCUUCUUCUAAGGACAGCUAUGACCUUGCUUUAAGGUUCGAAUAGCCUAAUGCAACCUCCCAUUUCUCAAGUCAGCUGAUGAUGUAAGUCACCUUGGCUUUCCACAUUCAUACGGUGAGGACGUUUGUGGGUGUAAUUCUCUUAACAGUUUUCAUUUUAUAUGGAAAAAUUCAUAAUUAAGGGUAAUUACUGAUUCCAUUUGACAGUGACCAAGUUUAAAAUAUUAAUUCAUAUAUUAAAUGCACAUUAAAAAAUCAUGGAAUAAAUAUAUUUACUAAUAUAUAGUUCUUUUGCCAUGUUCUGUCACAGAAGCAUCGAACUUUCCCUAGAAAUUUUUGCAUGGUAUUCUACUUAUGAUUUUGAAAACUCUAGGCACCUGAGGCCACUAAUUGCAUGGUUGGAUGAGGAGCUGCAUGAGAUUAUGUAUCGUGUUGUUCCUUAACUACAAAUAUCAGUUUUAAGUAGCAUCUCCAUGUGACAUUUUCCUGAUGCAAUUUCGCUGUCCACCAACAAAUUUCACCAUGCAGCAAGAUGAAUUGUAAUUUCUUUAUUGUUAUCAACAGCUUUAAUUAAUCUUGAUAUAUAUAUAUAACUUAGUAGAAGUAUAUUAAUCUAGAUUGUAGUUGCACUAAGAUAAUAGGCAAUAUUAUAACAGUGCCACAAUGCUCAUCGCCAAAUAGAAAGGUAGAAAAACUACAAUGAGUAACUCACAACAUUCUCAAACAGGACAUAGCGGCGACUGAUACAUAGAACACUAUUGGCACUCAGGAAAUGAUAAGAUCAGUGCCCAGCAGGCAGCACGUCUUAUUUUACAUACUACUUAAAACUAACCAAAGUCAUUCAGUUGGGAUGGGUGGGAGAUGGUGGUUUGUGCGGUGGCUUUUGGGUAGUUGGUGGCUUCUUUCCUGGAACUGAUGGUUUUUUUGUUGGAGUUGAAGGAGGCUUAAUCGUCUGAGGUGGCUUGUAUGAGUCUUCAGCACUCUCUGCGGGAGGGUGCCCAGGGUUGUGACCAUAAUGGGGUGGCUUCUCUCCCUUAGUUGGUUUGCCAAGUGGGCUGGCUGGCUUGUGCUCCGGGAGCGGCUUCUCUCCCUUAGGUGGUUUGCCAAAUGGGCUUGCUGGCUUGUGCUCUGGGAGCGGCUUCUCUCCCUCAAGAAGUUUACGGGUUUUGUCAGAUGGCUUGUGUUCUGGUGGUGGCUUCUCUCCUUGGGGUGGUUUGCCAAAUGGACUUGGUGGCUUGUGUUCGGGGAGUGGCUCCUCUCCCUUGGGAGGUUUAGUUGGUGGCUGGUGUUCCAUAGGUGGUUUCUCAACCGGGGGCUUGUUCUCCGUUG
rnacentral:lncRNA from 1 species